GAUGAAGAACGUAGCGAAAUGCGAUAAGUAAUGUGAAUUGCAGAAUUCAGUGAAUCAUCGAGUCUUUGAACGCACAUUGCGCCCCCUGGUAUUCCGGGGGGCAUGCCUGUCCGAGCGUCAUUGCUGCCCUCAAGCACGGCUUGUGUGUUGGGCCCCCGUCCCCGGUUCUCCCCGGGGACGGGCCCGAAAGGCAGCGGCGGCACCGCGUCCGAUCCUCGAGCGUAUGGGGCUUUGUCACCCGCUCUGUAGGCCCGGCCGGCGCCAGCCGACACCCCAACUUUAUUUUCUAAGGUUGACCUCGGAUCAGGUAGGGAUACCCGCUGAACUUAAGCAUAUCAAUAACGGAGGA
rnacentral:misc_RNA from 1 species